GACGAACGCUGGCGGCGUGCUUAACACAUGCAAGUCGAACGGAAAGGCCCUGCUUUUGUGGGGUGCUCGAGUGGCGAACGGGUGAGUAACACGUGAGUAACCUGCCCUUGACUUUGGGAUAACUUCAGGAAACUGGGGCUAAUACCGGAUAGGAGCUCCUGCUGCAUGGUGGGGGUUGGAAAGUUUCGGCGGUUGGGGAUGGACUCGCGGCUUAUCAGCUUGUUGGUGGGGUAGUGGCUUACCAAGGCUUUGACGGGUAGCCGGCCUGAGAGGGUGACCGGCCACAUUGGGACUGAGAUACGGCCCAGACUCCUACGGGAGGCAGCAGUGGGGAAUAUUGCACAAUGGGCGGAAGCCUGAUGCAGCAACGCCGCGUGCGGGAUGACGGCCUUCGGGUUGUAAACCGCUUUCGCCUGUGACGAAGCGUGAGUGACGGUAAUGGGUAAAGAAGCACCGGCUAACUACGUGCCAGCAGCCGCGGUGAUACGUAGGGUGCGAGCGUUGUCCGGAUUUAUUGGGCGUAAAGGGCUCGUAGGUGGUUGAUCGCGUCGGAAGUGUAAUCUUGGGGCUUAACCCUGAGCGUGCUUUCGAUACGGGUUGACUUGAGGAAGGUAGGGGAGAAUGGAAUUCCUGGUGGAGCGGUGGAAUGCGCAGAUAUCAGGAGGAACACCAGUGGCGAAGGCGGUUCUCUGGGCCUUUCCUGACGCUGAGGAGCGAAAGCGUGGGGAGCGAACAGGCUUAGAUACCCUGGUAGUCCACGCUGUAAACGGUGGGUACUAGGUGUGGGGUCCAUUCCACGGGUUCCGUGCCGUAGCUAACGCUUUAAGUACCCCGCCUGGGGAGUACGGCCGCAAGGCUAAAACUCAAAGGAAUUGACGGGGCCCCGCACAAGCGGCGGAGCAUGCGGAUUAAUUCGAUGCAACGCGUAGAACCUUACCUGGGUUUGACAUGGAUCGGGAGCGCUCAGAGAUGGGUGUGCCUCUUUUGGGGUCGGUUCACAGGUGGUGCAUGGCUGUCGUCAGCUCGUGUCGUGAGAUGUUGGGUUAAGUCCCGCAACGAGCGCAACCCUUGUUCACUGUUGCCAGCACGUUAUGGUGGGGACUCAGUGGAGACCGCCGGGGUCAACUCGGAGGAAGGUGGGGAUGACGUCAAGUCAUCAUGCCCCUUAUGUCCAGGGCUUCACGCAUGCUACAAUGGCUGGUACAGAGAGUGGCGAGCCUGUGAGGGUGAGCGAAUCUCGGAAAGCCGGUCUCAGUUCAGAUUGGGGUCUGCAACUCGACCUCAUGAAGUCGGAGUCGCUAGUAAUCGCAGAUCAGCAACGCUGCGGUGAAUACGUUCCCGGGGCU
rnacentral:rRNA from 1 species